GACGAACGCUGGCGGCGUGCUUAACACAUGCCAGUCGAACGGAAAGGCCCUGCUUUUGUGGGGUGCUCGAGUGGCGAACGGGUGAGUAACACGUGAGUAACCUGCCCUAGACUUUGGGAUAACUUCAGGAAACUGGGGCUAAUACCGGAUAGGAGCUCCUGCUGCAUGGUGGGGGUUGGAAAGUUUCGGCGGUUGGGGAUGGACUCGCGGCUUAUCAGCUUGUUGGUGGGGUAGUGGCUUACCAAGGCUUUGAGGGGUAGCCGGCCUGGGAGGGUGACCGGCCACAAUGGGACUGAGAGAGGGCCCAGACUCCUACGGGAGGCAGCAGUGGGGAAUAUUGCACAAUGGGCGGAAGCCUGAUGCAGCAACGCCGCGUGCGGGAUGACGGCCUUCGGGUUGUAAACCGCUUUCGCCUGUGACGAAGCGGGAGUGACGGUAAUGGGUAAAGAAGCACCGGCUAACUACGUG
rnacentral:rRNA from 1 species